UACAGAGGUCUCAAGCGUUGUUCGGAUUCAUUGGGCGUAAAGGGUGCGUAGGCGGUAGGGUAAGUCUGGUGUGAAAUCCUGGAGCUUAACUUCAGAAAUGCACUGGAUACUGCCCUGCUAGAGGACUGGAGAGGAGAUUGGAAUUCACGGUGUAGCAGUGAAAUGCGUAGAUAUCGUGAGGAACACCAGCGGCGAAGGCGGCAUCCUGGACUGGUCCUGACACUCAGGAGCGAAAGCGUGGGGAGCGAUCCGG
rnacentral:rRNA from 1 species